AGAAGGGAGGAAGACCAAGAGGAAGUGAGAGAGGAAAACCGAGAGCUCGACACAGAUCACCGCAGAUGGUUAUUGUUUAGAAAUCCAGGGUCAUGAUCUCAUGCGGCGCUCGCCUUUCUAUCUCACAGAUCCUGUCGACUGUGAAUUAAUCAACCGAAACAAGAGUCUUGAUAUGCCGAGUCCUCUCCUAUCAGAUUACUGCUGUCGACCGAGUACCAUUACUUAAGCAAUUGGCAGAGACACUUCUGAUUACAGUGCUUGCCAAGAGCGCUUUGGAGACAAGACCUAGCAAAAGUUCGGGGAAGUAAUCUAUUACACAUUGAAGGACAUCUACAAACAGCCCACCUUGAGUUUGACAAAGCCCUGUCUGACUUGGAGCAGCCUCUCCUUGAAGCCCUCUUCUGUUUGAGACUGCAGGGUGAGGACAGGAGAAUGCAGCCGCAAUGCAAGGAGAUGCAAUGUUGGAUUACUGUUAAUGCACUCCUCAACGGGAUCACUGGCAGGAGCCUCCAAAAGCUCCAGUAUGUUCCGGACAGUGCUGCCAGGGUCCUGAUGAGGGUGCGGAAGUAUGAGCACAUUACCCCCAUCCUCCGCACCCUUCACUGGCUCCCUGUCACCGCCCGCAUGAGUACCAGGUCCUCCUGCACACCCACCACUGUCAGCACGGUGAUACACCAUUUACGUCUCCGGCCUUCCCACACCACACAAACCAGCUAGGACCCGAUCAAGCCAGCAGCACUGUCUGCUCGCGCCCAGGACAUGGCUCAAAACCGUAGGGGACAGAGCUUUUGAAGCUGCUUUUAAAAAAAGGGGUAAAAUCCUACCUUUAAAAAAAAAAAAGCAUAUAACUCAUUCUACUAUUGUUUUUACUGUAUUGUUUUAAUGCUUUUAUGAUGUUGUUACUCUGUAGCAAUUCAAGAU